rnacentral:lncRNA from 1 species
GAGGGGCCCACACGAUCCACGCCCUCGUCUGCCGGUCUGCGCCCGAGGCGGACCCUUGUCUUGUGGGCCCGGAUGAGUCCGACCCCCUACGCCCGGGGUCGGGUGAGGCGGAACCUUGCGGCGAGGGGUCGGGCGCAUCCGACCCUGGGACCGUGAGUCGGGCGAGGCGGAGUUUUGCCAUCGAGGGGUCGGGAGUGUCCGACCCCAGGAUCCUGGGUCGGGCGAGACGGAGCUGGAUGUUCCCUACCCAUGCUGGGCCGGCGGCAAUCGUCAUCACCGCAGGUGGGCCUGGGCCUUCAUGAUUGUUGUAUUAAGGGGCAUUAGGAGGUCGUUAAUA